UACGUAGGGUGCAAGCGUUGUCCGGAUUUAUUGGGCGUAAAGAGCUCGUAGGCGGCUCGGUAAGUCGGGUGUGAAAUUUCGAGGCUUAACCUCGAAACGCCACCCGAUACUGCUGUGGCUAGAGUCCGGUAGGGGAGCGUGGAAUUCCUGGUGUAGCGGUGAAAUGCGCAGAUAUCAGGAGGAACACCAGCGGCGAAGGCGGCGCUCUGGGCCGGUACUGACGCUGAGGAGCGAAGGCGUGGGGAUCAAACAGG
rnacentral:rRNA from 1 species